AAAAUCCGUCGACUUUAU
rnacentral:tRNA from 2 species